AAGAGAUGCUUCGAAUUUAUUUGAAGUACCUAACAACCAGUUUGUGUCUUCCAGUGGUCUUCAAGGGAUUGCCUGCUGCUUCCAAAAAUUGGCACUCCUCUGGCGAACUUAGGAUUCUCCUCCAUAUACUCAACUAGUGCCCGCAGCUGUGUAGUUUUUUCGUGCUGGAAUUGAGAAAAUAAAAAAAUAUAUAUUUGUUGUUCACAGA
rnacentral:sRNA from 1 species